rnacentral:rRNA from 1 species
CUCGUAGGUGGUUCAGCAAGUCAAUCGUGAAAGCUCGGGGCUCAACCCCGAAGCUGCGGUCGAUACUGCUGUGACUAGGGUCCGGUAGAGGUGAGUGGAAUUCUCGGUGUAGCGGUGAAAUGCGCAGAUAUCGAGAGGAACACCAGUAGCGAAGGCGGCUCACUGGGCCGGUACCGACACUGAGGAGCGAAAGCGUGGGGAGCAAACA